ensembl:misc_RNA Metazoa_SRP Metazoan signal recognition particle RNA
GCCGGGCGUGGUGGCUCACGCCUGUAAUCCCAGCACUUUGGGAGGCCAAGGCGAGUGGAUCACCUGAGGUCAGGAGUUCGAGACCAGCCUGACCAACAUGGUGAAAACCCGUCUCUC